UGGAACUUUUCAAGCUGCUCUCUAUCAGGGAAACCUUGCCCUGUUUUCUUUUCCCACACUCUACCGAGUUAUCCGACAGCCAAGUGGCAUCUGUGAAAUGGGAACGUCUGACUGUAGAACAAAUAAAUGAAAGACAGCAGGUGACUACAAUUGUAAAUGGUCAUCAGUCACUGUACACAGCAGAAGCAACUGCAAGAACCAUUGUUUAAGCAAUGAGCCCUCUGCUAGAAAACAGUUGGCAGCCACUGUGCACACAUUUGGUGCACUAAGUAAAAGAAGAACAGGUAGAAGGCAUGGUCAGGGUAUUGAGCCAUCUCAGCCUUGGGCUCCUAUAGAGGUCUGGAGGGUGAGGCCGAGGCCGUAGAACAGCCUUC